CCAAAAUACACCGUACACUGGCGUUAUGUGACACUAUUGUUGACUAAAGUACUAAAAACAACCCUCCUCUAUUCUCUCCGCUUACAGGAAAUUAGGUCAUAAGUCCAAGAGAAAAGCAGAGGCAGCCAGGCAGUAGACCCCAGUCACAUGGGUGGUGGGUCGUGGUUAAGGUGUAUUAACAGAGCUACAGGUCAGGUGUGUUAACAGAGCUACAGGUCAGGUGUGUUAACAGAGCUACAGGUCAGGUGUGUUAACAGAGCUACAGGUCAGGUGUGUUAACAGAGUUACAGGUAAGUUGUGUUAACAGAGCCACAGUUCAGGUGUGUUAGCAGAGCUACAGGGUGAUCCAUGGAGUCACUGUGUUUAGGGACAGUGAAUGUAAGAGGCAAAGUGGACAGCCAGUGUGGAACGGAAUGACUGGUAUUAUAUUC
ensembl:lncRNA